GAUGAACGCUAGCGGCAGGCCUAAUACAUGCAAGUCGAACGGGCGGUAGCAAUACCGCUAGUGGCGCACGGGUGCGUAACGCGUAACCAACCUGCCCAGAUCUGGGGGAUAGCCCGCCGAAAGGCGGAUUAAUACCGCAUAAACCCACAGUGUGGCAUCACAUAAUGGGUAAAGAUUGAUCGGAUCUGGAUGGGGUUGCGUAGCAUUAGCUAGUUGGCGGGGUAAUGGCACACCAAGGCGACGAUGCUUAGGGGACCUGAGAGGGUGCUCCCCCACACUGGCACUGAGAUACGGGCCAGACUGCUACGGGAGGCAGCAGUAGGGAAUAUGGGGCAAUGGGCGAGAGCCUGACCCAGCCAUGCCGCGUGCCGGAUGAAGGCCUUCUGGGGUGUAAACGGCUUUUCUAAGGGAAGAAAACGUGGAUGCGUCCUCAACUGACGGUACCUGAGGAAUAAGCACCGGCUAACUCCGUG
rnacentral:rRNA from 1 species